UACGAAGGGGGCUAGCGUUGCUCGGAAUCACUGGGCGUAAAGGGUGCGUAGGCGGGUCUUUAAGUCAGGGGUGAAAUCCUGGAGCUCAACUCCAGAACUGCCUUUGAUACUGAGGAUCUUGAGUUCGGGAGAGGUGAGUGGAACUGCGAGUGUAGAGGUGAAAUUCGUAGAUAUUCGCAAGAACACCAGUGGCGAAGGCGGCUCACUGGCCCGGUACUGACGCUGAGGCGCGAAAGCGUGGGGAGCAAACGGG
rnacentral:rRNA from 1 species